ACACUGGCACCAUUGUUCACACUUUAUUUCAGUUGUGGAGCUGAUGACAUUUAAAAAUUGGGAACUGGGAGGGUAGAGAAUAUAAUUGGAGGCCCUAGCUCUGGAGAGUGAAAUCAGGGAGAUACUUUGCAAAAUGAAGGACACCUGAAGCUUAGCAGCUGACUUGGCUACAGCUGGAGCAGGAUGGAAAAAUAGAGGUGGAGCUCCAGGUUUCUACAGGGGAGAAAGAGCUCAAGUUAGGAGAGAGAGAAGUCUUUUGGAGAAGCAAAUCCAGGUGUUGAUCCUGCAACUGGAUUUCUCAGCACAGCUCCAAAGGAGGACAGUGCUAUUAUCCCAUGGACACAUUAAGAACCCAAGGCAAAAGGACAGUGACACCCACAGAGGUCACACAGGAAGUCUGUGGGAGAACUGGGAGCUGAACUCCAGUUGUUCAAAUCCAAGGAAAACUGCUGAAUGAAGAACCACAUCAAAGAGCUGGGGAAGCAACUGCUGGAAAAAGAAGAGCCCUGUGUGCAGAAGGGUGUCUGGUUGUCAGAGAUCAUUACCAAGAUCUCCUAAAGAUCUCCCCUCUGAGGUUUAUCAGGCUUUCACAAGUGUCAGGUUUUUAUUUUUCCUGUUGUCAUUUUAUUCAAGAUUUGCAGGUAGAUUGGGAGCAGGAAGAAGUGUUGGAGAGGCACAUUGAGAAGAUGUGAUACAUCAAAGCACUUCAGCUGCAUUUCUAGCUCUGAUUUUUCCUUUUCACUGCCAGUGAGACUUUCAAGGGCCCUGCCCUUAAAUCCUGCUCCUAAAAAAAUAAACAUUGAGGACCUGAAUUCUUCAGAAUCACUUAUACCUGGAAGCUCUGGGGCAACCAACAGCAAGUGGAACUGGCUAACACUGCAGAAAACAUUUCUGACUUUUUAACUUCUAAUGUGCCAGGCUGCUCCUGCCUUGCUCAUGUGUUUCAAGAGGAGGACUGUGGGUUUCUUUUCAUUUUUCCAAGUAGGUGAUUAAUUAAUUUGGCACUGAAGGCAGCAUUUCAGACCAGGCAUGGCUUUAUUGCCCAGUUUUCAAAAACAGUGUCUUGAGUCUAUGGUUCAGGACAUACUUUGCCUGUUAUUGAUGAAGCUGCUGUAACCUUAUCCUGAAGGAUGAACUCCUGUGU